UACGGAGGGUGCAAGCGUUGUCCGGAAUCACUGGGUGUAAAGGGUGUGUAGGUGGGACAGUAAGUCAGAGGUGAAAGCCUGCGGCCUAACCGUAGAAUUGCCUUUGAUACUGCUGUUCUUGAGUCCCGGAGAGGUGGCUGGAAUUCGUGGUGUAGCGGUGAAAUGCGUAGAUAUCACGAGGAACACCAGAGGCGUAGGCGGGUCACUGGACGGGUACUGACACUGAGGCACGAAAGCGUGGGGAGCGAACAGG
rnacentral:misc_RNA from 1 species